CUUGUCUGGGUACAUAAAUUUUUUGGGACCAACUCUGGGUGUGAUAAGCUAGCUGGCCUUAUUAAGGAGUGGCAUAUAUAUAGCAGCAAGAAGUGAAUUAAGGAAGCAGCCGAAAAGAAAUCAGCAGAAAUGCAGGGGAAUUCAUUAUUGGUCCCAACAAGGCAGCUAUCGUGGAGCCGGAGAUGGUAAUGCACCACUAAUGAUCCGUUUUCUCUCUCUCGCUCGCUCUCCUCUUCUCUGCUGCAGCCGCUUAUGAAGUUUAGACCUAGGGUUUGUGAAGAUGUUUCGUGGUUUUACAGGUAUGUUAUGU